CAUGCAGGCGGUCGGACGCGUUUUGUGUGACAGCGGGUGGCUUAACUACCCGAGUAUGCGAAAGACGGUCUGACUUGAGGGCUCGAGAGGGACACGGAAUUCCGGGUGGAGUGGUGAAAUGCGUAGAGAUCCGGAGGAACACCGAAGGCGAAGGCAGUGUCCUGGCGAGUGACUGACGCUGAGGUGCGAAAGCUAGGGGAGCGAACGGGAUUAGAUACCCCGGUAGUCCUGGCCGUAAACGAUGACCACCAGGUGUGGGAGGUAUCGACCCCUUCCGUGCCGGAGGAAACCCACUAAGUGGUCCGCCUGGGGAGUACGGUCGCAAGAUUAAAA
rnacentral:rRNA from 1 species